rnacentral:rRNA from 1 species
GAUGAACGCUGGCGGCGUGCCUAAUACAUGCCAGUCGAGCGAACAGACGAGGAGCUUGCUCCUCUGACGUUAGCGGGGGACGGGUGAGUAACACGUGGAUAACCUACCUAUAAGACUGGGAUAACUUCGGGAAACCGGAGCUAAUACCGGAUAAUAUAUUGAACCGCAUGGUUCAAUAGUGAAAGACGGUUUUGCUGUCACUUAUAGAUGGAUCCACGCCGCAUUAGCUAGUUGGUAAGGUAACGGCUUACCAAGGCGACGAUGCGUAGCCGACCUGAGAGGGUGAUCGGCCACACUGGAACUGAGACACGGUCCAGACUCCUACGGGAGGCAGCAGUAGGGAAUCUUCCGCAAUGGGCGAAAGCCUGACGGAGCAACGCCGCGUGAGUGAUGAAGGUCUUCGGAUCGUAAAACUCUGUUAUUAGGGAAGAACAAAUGUGUAAGUAACUAUGCACGUCUUGACGGUACCUAAUCAGAAAGCCACGGCUAACUACGUG